GACGAACGCUGGCGGCGUGCUUAACACAUGCAAGUCGAACGGAAAGGCCCUGCUUUUGUGGGGUGCUCGAGUGGCGAACGGGUGAGUAACACGUGAGUAACCUGCCCUUGACUUUGGGAUAACUUCAGGAAACUGGGGCUAAUACCGGAUAGGAGCUCCUGCUGCAUGGUGGGGGUUGGAAAGUUUCGGCGGUUGGGGAUGGACUCGCGGCUUAUCAGCUUGUUGGUGGGGUAGUGGCUUACCAAGGCUUUGACGGGUAGCCGGCCUGAGAGGGUGACCGGCCACAUGGGGACUGAGAUACGGCCCAGACUCUUACGGGAGGCAGCAGUGGGGAAUAUGGCAAAAUGGGCGGAAGCCUGAUGAAGCAACGCCGCGUGCGGGAUGACGGCUUUCGGGUUGUAAACCGCUUUCGCCUGUGACGAAGCGUGAGUGACGGUAAUGGGUAAAGAAGCACCGGCAAACUACGU
rnacentral:rRNA from 1 species